rnacentral:tRNA from 2 species
GCUGAUCUAGCUCAGGGGUAGAGCACCGGCGUUGAGCCGGAGGCAUGGGUUCGAGUCCCAUGAUUUGCGCCA